UACAGAGGGGGCAAGCGUUGUUCGGAAUUACUGGGCGUAAAGGGCGCGUAGGCGGCCUUCUAAGUCGAACGUGAAAUCCCUGGGCUCAACCCAGGAACUGCGUCCGAUACUGGAAGGCUUGAAUCCGGGAGAGGGAUGCGGAAUUCCAGGUGUAGCGGUGAAAUGCGUAGAUAUCGGGAGGAACACCAGUGGCGAAGGCGAUCUUCUGGACGGAUACUGACGUUGAGGCGCGAAAGCUAGGGGAGCAAACAGG
rnacentral:rRNA from 1 species